AAAGGUGGUUGCAGGUAUUCAGAUCCUGGAGUGCUGUGAAAUGGCCUUAACCUUGGGCAAUUAAGUAAUAUGAGUGGUGUGAUAGGAAAUUUUUUGAUUCAUUGUGAUUGACUAUAAAUAAAAGUAGAAUGGUGAGAAUAAUAAUGAUGAUGCUAGUGAAAUACAAGUUGUGAUGAUACUGGUGAUGCACAAGUUGUAAUGAUACUGCUGAUAAUGAAAAUAUAUUGUACAUACCAAUUGUAAUGAGACAUAAAUAAUAAAGAGAUUGGCAGCAAUG